GGGAGAUGAAAAUCUCCAACGAUUAUAUCC
rnacentral:misc_RNA from 1 species